UAAAUUUUUAAAUUUAAAAUAAAAUACAAAUAAGUAAUGUAUUUAAAUCAAAUAAAUAUUCGUUUUGUGUCGCCAAAUAUGCAAACGCAGUGCUUAGUGUGGAUAUAAUAUAUUAAAGUUAUUUAGUUGUAUUAUUAGUGCAGUCUGAAGUGAAGUGGGUGCUCUGCUCGCAGCAAAUGGCGAAUGCGCGUGUAAGGUUUUAAGCAGUUUGUGUUGAUAAUCGCAGUUUGUUUAAUUCAGUGGUGUUCAAGAAAAUGUUUUAUUAUUAGUAAAAUAAAUAUAAAUCAGUUUUUAAGAAAAUAAAAUUCUGCUGUAAAUGCUGUAAAUGAAAGAUAUUUAGUAUAUGCAGUGAAUGAGUUCAGUGAGUGAGUGUUCAUUGGUUUUGAAGAUCGUGUGGCUGCUAAGUCGUGUGCGUCGAUGCAGCGUAAAUAUUGAAACGUAUGUAUGAAUGUGCAUACAUGCAUACCUAUGAAAUGAUAUAAAAUAUGUGCGCUAGUCAAUAUAACCUAUAAUUAUUCAGAGGUGCCAUUAUAAGACGCGAUAUACUUAUGUACAUACAUAGUAUGUACUUUGUAUGUACGAAAGGGCUUCAUCUUUAAUCAGGACAACGCUAGACCACACAUAUAUUUGAUGACUUAAAAAAAAAACGGGUAUGCAACUGGAAUGUCCAGUCCUUUAAUUGGGAUGAUGCCGCAGCCCAGCU